rnacentral:lncRNA from 10 species
CUGAAAAAGAAUUUCAGGAGGACAGAUGGAGAACAUAGACUGUGCUCAUGUCAGGGACUUGCAGUGUGAAAGACCUCAUGGGGACUUUUGAAGAACCAUUACCUGAUCCUCAUGAGAGAUAUACAUUUAAGUGAAUACUACAGAAAAAAAAAAGCACUGGAAGCCAGCCAUGGAUAGCAAAGAUAAAGCUUCAUAAGAGGAGAAACUAAGAAAAUAUUAUUUUUGAUUUUCUACAUAGACAAUUAUACCUCUGUGAACAAAGACAGUUUAUUUCUUCCUUCCCAG